GUCGCUAGGAAACGAGCGAGCCCGACGCCAGGGGCGGAGCUCUGGCCUCCUCGCCGAGUUGGGGGAGGCAGGUGCGACAGGAGAAUGGACAGUAAGAAGGGGAGACCCAAAGCUGCAGCUGGGAAGUGGCAGACGCUCCACCCUGGGCCCAAGACAAGAGCUGCUGCUGGGAAGCCCGGGGAGAACCGCCCGCCGCAGAGGAAAGCGGGCUGGCAGGCGAGGGAGCCCGCGUCGGCUGAGAGCCCACAGGCCCCCACAGAUGGAGUUUCGCUCUGUUGCCAGGCUGGAGUGCACUGGGGCUUGGCUCACUGCUACCUCCGCCUCCCAGGUUCAGGCAAUUCUCCUGCCUCAGCCUCCUGAGUAGCUGGGACUACAGGCACCCACCACCACACCCAGCUAGUUUUUGUGUUUUUAGUAGAGACAGGGUUUCACCAUGUUGGCCAGGAUGGUCUCGAUCUCUUGACCUUGUGAUCCGCCCGUCUCAGCCUCCCAAAGUGCUGGGAUUACAGGCGUGAGCCACCAGGCCUGGCUCCUUUUCCACUUUCAUGGACCCUCGUGAUUGCAUUGGAUCUCCCCGGGUAAUCUGGGAUGUUCUUCCUGGCCUAAGGUCAGCUGAUUAGCAACCUUAGUUCAUCUGCAGUCUCCAUUCUCUUUUUGCUGAAUCACGUCAAGUAUUCACAAGUUCCAGGGGGCAGGAGGUGGACAUCUUUGGGGGACAUUAUUCCGCCCACCAGAAAACCCAGGAGCAGCCACAGCCCCAAGACGAGGCAGGGAAGGAGUGCUGCUGUCUGCCGGUGAAGAUGAACUGCUUCUGACCCUCCCGAGCGAGGAUAUUGAGAAGAAAGAAUUUGCCAAGAUGCUAGUCACACACCAAGUACAGAGGCUAUGUUGGUCGGCUGCAGCAAAAAGACCACUCGCGGCGUGGCAGCUCUCACUGGCCCUGCUGCCUCUUCAAGUUGACUGCAGUCCAUCACCCACGGUCAUUAUUAAUUUGUUUUUGCAAAGGCCAGGCAGGUGAAUCUAAUGGAGAUGGAAACCACCACACCUGCUUCCCUGGUCUCUGAUGUUGGUGUUAACCUCUGCAAUUCCUCAAGCAAAGCACUCCUUCUAUCAGGCUCACUGUCUUGCUGGAGGGAGGAAGUUCCACAGGCUCUCACUUGGUUCUUUCUGCCGUAACAACCCUUACUCCUCCGGCCAAGGAGCCAAUGUGAGCAUUCAGCUGGCAGCUAAGAAUGUGUAUCCCAAUAAACAGGGCAGACCUACAGACCCACUGGACCCACUAGAGAUGGACUUGGGCCACAGUGCCUUCCAUGACUUCAGUAAACAGAGGGGUGUGGUGAUCUUGUCAAAGUCCUGGCGUCAAUGUCAGUGUCCGGCUACACACCAUGUUCCCGUCCUCGAAAAGCCUCUCUGUACCCCUCUAUGUUGGUGACACAACCCUGGCAAAUGGCCACAGACUCCUUUGGGGACAGAGUAGGAGCGUAACUGGUGGGAGUGGUUGGCAUGCUUUGUAUUGGGAGAGCCGCACGCCCUAGGGCUUCCAGCCUCCUCUUCAGUUUGGCAGCUGUGAGUCUGAAUUUCACUCAAAUCUGGAAACUGGGUGAGAGACUGUGGCAGCUGCUGUCCGGCUGGCAGAGCCUGACGUGUCUCUGAUCAUACUCACUGGGUCAGCAACACCCUACUGACCUUGUCCAGAAUCCCACAUCCCAGUUGAUAUCAGGGCAAUCAGUUUCCUGGCUGUUUUCCCCAAUAUCAACCCGGGCUUACAGAAGACAGUCACCACAGAGCUCCUGCCAGGAGUUCACUCAUUCGUGCAUUUCUUCCUUUUUUUUUUCUUUUUGAGAUGGAGUCUCGCUCUGUCGCCCAGGCUGGAGUGCAGUGGAGCGAUCUCGGCUCAUUGCAACCUCCGCCUCCUGGGUUCAAGCGAUUCUCUUGCCUCAGCCUCCCAGGUAGCUGGGAUAGCAGGUGUGUGCCACCAUGCCCAGCUAAUUUUUGUAUUUUUAGUAGAGAUGGGGUUUCAUCAUGUUGCCCAGGCUGGUCUCAAAUUCCUGACCUCAGGUGAUCUGCCCUCAGCCUCCCAAAGUGCUGGGAUUACAGGCUUCAGCCACCACACCCAGCCUCAUUCAUACAUUUCUUAUUGUUGUUGUUUGAGACAGGGUCUUUCUCUGUCACCCAGGAUGGAGUGCAGUGUUGUGAUCAUGCCUCAGUGCAGCGAUCAUGGCUCAGUGCAGCCUCAAACUCUUGGGCUCAAGCAGUGCUCCAACCUCAGCCUCCUGAGUAGCUAGGACUAUAGGCACACAGCACCAUGCCCCGGCUAUUUUUUUAUUUUGUAGAGAUGGGGUCUCACUAUGUUGCCCAGGCUAGUAUUGAACUCCUGGCCUCAAGCAAUCCUCCCACCUCGGCCUCCCAAAGUGCUGGGAUUAAAGGCGUGAGCCACCGUACCUUGCCCUUGGUGGAAUCUUUAGGGUUUUCUAUUCAUACAUAUAAAAUCAUAUCAUUGGCAAACAGAGAUAAUUUUACUUCCUCCUUUCCAAUUUGGAUGCCUUAGAUUUCUUUUCCUUGCCUAACUGCUCUGUCUAGAACUCCCAGCACUAUGCUGAAUAGAGUGGCAAGAGCAGGCAUUUGCCUUGUUCCUAACCUUAGAGAAAAAUCCUUCAGCCUUUUACCAUUGAGGAUGAUGUUUGCUGUUAGUUUUUCAUAAAUGAUCUAUAUCAGGCUGAAUAAAUUUCUAUUUCUAAAAAAA
rnacentral:lncRNA from 10 species